GUCCACGCUGUAAACGAUGAGUGCUAGUUGUUGGGAAGUUUACUUCUCAGUGACGCAGCUAACGCGUUAAGCACUCCGCCUGGGGGAGUACGGCCGCAAGGUUAAAACUCAAAGGAAUUGACGGGGGCCCGCACAAGCGGUGGAGCAUGUGGUUUAAUUCGACGCAACGCGAAGAACCUUACCAACCCUUGACAUGUGUAUCGCGGAGACCAGAGACGGUUUCCUUCAGUUCGGCUGGAUACAACACAGGUGCUGCAUGGCUGUCGU
rnacentral:rRNA from 1 species